GAUCUGGAGGCCUAGUGGUUAGAGCUUCCGCCUCGAAUGCGGAAGAUUAUUGGUUCGAUCCCCGGUCGAGUCG